CAAGCAAGCCAGGAAGGAGGCAGGAUGGAAGAGUUCUCUGCAGCAGCAGACCCUCUGUCCAGAACAUCCAGCACAGCUUUUGCCAGGCUUAUUGACUCGACAUUGCAGCAAUCAUUGCCUGUCAGGACAUUCGUGUUUUGUUGGGAUACAUCCCCAGCAAAUGGGAUCUAGCAUUACAUCAAGAAUGGUGGAUUCUUCAUGCUGGAGAGAGUGGACAAAAGGAUUAUAAUACAGCACUGAAAAGACAAAUUAACUCCUGAAUUGCAACUUUGGAUAACUGAUAUGUGUUCCUGGUCAGUAUUUGAACGGGGUUGUUGUACCCCGCCCGACCGACUGAAAGGGAAAAAGCCAAAACCUAACCUGUACUGGACAGAGAACCGAUUCCCAGUGUAGCUAAUCCUGCUUCAUCAGAUGCAUGAAGUAAACAGGUUCUGUAUUGAAGUGCCGUCAGCUGACACCCUAAAUGGAGCCCUGAGAAUGGUGUAUUGCACCAAAACAUUGGCUCGGGUUUGUUUUCGCUUACAAGUUUUGUGGGAAAAUUGGGAAGUUAUUUUAAUAUCUUUUAUGCAUUAAAGAGGUCAUUUGAAGUUGGCCUUUGGAGCAGUGCAAUGCGUAUUUCAUCACUGGUAUACUGUAUUUUAGGAAAAGUCUAAUUAAAAGUUGUUGUUGCUUUCCCCUCAUUUAAAAAUGACUGGGUAAAAAGUUACACUUCCUGCUAUUAUGAGUCCCGCCGACGUGACUGUUCCAUAAGCUUUUUCAGCCUUGCAAACAAAGACGAUCUGUUGGCUGGAAACCGGUUGCCUAAGUCCCUUUCUGUGCUGCUAGGCUGAUUGCCUGUCUCAGGUGAACUACUGCUACUACUACUGUCUCUCACAGUAGAUACCUGUUCAUUGGCACUUUCCUGCAGCUGUGGAACUCUACAUGGAGUCUCAUCUCCA